CGCGAUUACCCUCGUUGGAUAGAGAUCCUCUGGCACGAUAUCAAUGUCCACAUUCCGCAUCAUGUUUCUUCAAGGAUACCAAGUUAUAAUCUACGAGCAGCCCAUAGGUAGAUUCAAGAGAAUUGGGGACCGCGUCUGAACGAAGCUACAUGGAAUUGGCGAUUGAUGAAGACGAUAAUGAUAGUGUGCCAUGUUUAUAACAAGGAG